rnacentral:tRNA from 1 species
GGGGAUAUAGCUCAGUGGUAGAGUGCAUGCUUAGCAAGCACAAGGUCUUGGCUUCAAUCCCCAGUACCUCCA